rnacentral:tRNA from 1 species
GAGAUGUUAGUAAAAUAUUACAAGGCCUUGUCAAGACCUAAUUGUUAGUUAUUCUAACACAUCUUAU